rnacentral:precursor_RNA from 1 species
AUAGCGUAUAUUAAGUUGCUGCAGUUAAAAAGCUCGUAGUUGGAUUUCUGGUAUCAACGUGCCUAUCCCACUGCGGUUUUAACGUAUGUGUGUGAUGGUUUUAGCACGUUUACCAUCCUUCUAGAGAGUGCAGGUCUGAUUCCUUCACUGGUUUCGGCUUGUAUCAUCUAGUUCUUUUACUUUGAAAAAAUUAGAGUGUUUCAAGCAGGCGUUUAUUUGCUAUGAAUACAUUAGCAUGGAAUAAUAAUUUAGGACUUCGGUUCUAUUUUGUUGGUUUCUAGGGCUGAAGUAAUGAUUGAUAGGGAUAGUUGGGGGUGCUAGUAUUCAGCGGCCAGAGGUGAAAUUCUCGGAUUCGCUGAAGACUAACUUAUGCGAAAGCAUUCACCAAGGAUGUCUUCUUUAAUCAAGAGCGAAAGUUGGGGGAUCGAAGACGAUCAGAUACCGUCGUAGUCUCAACCAUAAACUAUACCGACUAGGGAUGAGUGAACGUUGUUUUUUUUCGACUUCAUUCGCACCUUAUGAGAAAUCAAAGUCUUUGGGUUCCGGGGGGAGUAUGGUCGCAAGGCUGAAACUUAAAGGAAUUGACGGAAGGGCACCACCAGGAGUGGAGCCUGCGGCUUAAUUUGACUCAACACGGGAAAACUUACCAGGUCCAGACAUAGUGAGGAUUGACAGAUUGAAGAUCUUUCUUGA